rnacentral:rRNA from 1 species
UACAGAGGGGGCAAGCGUUAUUCGGAAUUAUUGGGCGUAAAGGGCGCGUAGGCGGCCUGGCAAGUGGAAGGUGAAAUCCCUCGGCUUAACCGAGGAACUGCCCUCCAAACUGCUUGGCUUGAGUCCGGGAGAGGUGAGUGGAAUUCCCAGUGUAGCGGUGAAAUGCGUAGAUAUCAUGAGGAACACCGGUGGCGAAGGCGGUUACCUGGAAGAUUCCUGACUCUGAAACACGAAAGCCAGGGGAGCAAACGGG